UACGUAGGCAGCAAGCGUUGUUCGGAAUUACUGGGCGUAAAGAGUGUGUAGGCGGUGCUCCAAGUCUGGUGUGAAAUCUCCCGGCUUAACUGGGAGGGUGCAUUAGAAACUGGAAUGCUAGAGGAUGGGAGAGGUAAGCGGAAUUCCUGGUGUAGCGGUGAAAUGCGUAGAUAUCAGGAGGAACACCUGUGAUAUAGACAGCUUACUAGACCAUUUCUGACGCUGAGACACGAAAGCGUGGGUAGCAAACAGG
rnacentral:rRNA from 1 species